CCUACGGGAGGCAGCAGUGAGGAAUAUUGGUCAAUGGGCGCGAGCCUGAACCAGCCAAGUCGCGUGAGGGAAGACGGUCCUAUGGAUUGUAAACCUCUUUUGUCGGGGAGCAAAAGACGCCACGCGUGGCGUUCCGAGAGUACCCGAAGAAAAAGCAUCGGCUAACUCCGUGCCAGCAGCCGCGGUAAUACGGAGGAUGCGAGCGUUAUCCGGAUUUGUUGGGUUAAAGGGGUGCGCAGGCGGAAGAUCAAGUCAGCGGUAAAAUUGAGAGGCUCAACCUCGUCGAGCCGUUGAAACUGGUUUUCUUGAGUGAGCGAGAGGUAUGCGGAAUGCGUGGUGUAGCGGUGAAAUGCAUAGAUAUCACGCAGAACUCCGAUUGCGAAGGCAGCAUACCGGCGCUCAACUGACGCUCAUGCACGAAAGUGUGGGUAUCGAACAGGAUUAGAUACCCGGGUAGUC
rnacentral:rRNA from 1 species